rnacentral:rRNA from 1 species
UGGGUAACCUGCCUUAUAGUGGGGGAUAGCCUUUCGAAAGGAAGAUUAAUACCGCAUAAGAUUGUAGUAUCGCAUGAUAUAGCAAUUAAAGGAGCAAUUCGCUAUAAGAUGGACCCGCGUCGCAUUAGCUAGUUGGUGAGGUAAUGGCUCACCAAGGCGACGAUGCGUAGCCGACCUGAGAGGGUGGAUCGGCCACAUUGGGACUGAGACACGGCCCAGACUCCUACGGGAGGCAGCAUG